CGGAGCGUAGCUCAAUUGGUAGAGUGUUCGGUUUGGGUCCGAGAGGUUGCGGGUUCAAGUCCUGUCGCUCCGA
rnacentral:tRNA from 3 species